AGUGGUGUACAUUGGUGACAGAGAGGUGUUGGGGGUGUAGAGGAGUGUACGUGGGUGACAGAGGAGCGCAGAGUAGUAGACAUGGAUAACAGAAGGGUGUAGGGGUGUACAAUGGUGAUAGAGGGGUGUAGAGGAGUGUACAUGGGUGACGGAGGAGCUUAGAGGAGUGUCAAUGGGUAACAGAUGGGUGUAGAGGGGUGUACAUGGUUGACAGAGCGGUGUAGAAGAGUGAACAUGUGUAACAGAGGGGUGUAGAGGAGUGUACAUGGGUGACAGAGGGGUGUAGAGGAGUGUACAUGGGUGACAGAGGAUCGUAGAGUAGUGUACAUGGGUGACAGGGGAACGUAGCGGGUGAAAGAGGGGUGUACGGGGUGAUAGAAGGGUGUACGUAGGUGACAGAGGGGUGUUGGGGGUGUAGAGAUGUGUACAUGGGUGGCAGAGUAGUUUAGAGGAGUGUAUAUGAGUGAUAGAUGGGUGUAAAUGGGUGAAAGGGGGCGUAGGGGGUGACAGAGUGGUGUACAUUGGUGACAGAGAGGUGUUGGGGGUGUAGAGGAGUGUACGUGGGUGACAGAGGAGCGCAGAGUAGUAUACAUGGAUAACAGAAGGGUGUAGGGGUGUACAUUGGUGAUAGAGAGGUGUAGAGGAGUGUGCAUGGGUGACAGGGGAGCGUAGAGGAGUGUAAAUGGAUAACAGAUGGGUGUAGAGGGGUGUACAUGGGUGACAGAGCGGUGUAGAGGAGUGUACAUGGGUGACAGAGGGGUGUAGAGGAGUGUACAUGGGUGACAGAGGGGUGUAGAGGAGUGUACAUGGGUGACAGAGGGGUGUAGAGGAGUGUACAUGGGUAACAGAGGAGUGUAGAGGAGUGUACAGAGGCCUACAUCACCAUUACUUGAUUAACUGUUGUAUAUUAUAUAAAACAUUUAGAUAAAAUGUUUUACAAAAAUAUACAUUAUAUUUUAAGUUCCUUUUUCCACUCCUUUUUCCAUAAUUCCUGAGUUAAGUAGUUCUGGCCCUAGAGUGUUAUAUAUAUUAGCGUCUGUAGCAUGUAUCAGGAACAUGUUAUCAUACCUGUGUCUUUUUUUACAGAUGACUCAUGACCAGUGAAAAGGUGAACGUGACAUAUACCCCCGUCAGCUGCAAGAAAGGAACCACAAAACAGAUGACUGAUGACCAGUGAAAAGGUGAACGUGACAUAUACCCCCGUCAGCUACAAGAAAGGAACCACAAAACAGAGGACUAAUGCCCGACAUAUACCCCCGUCAGCUGCAAGAAAGGAACCACGAAACAGGUAAUUAAUAUUUAUAUUAAUUACCGAUAACAAUCAGGCUAGAUGUAAAAUCUAGACCUGCAGACAUGUCAUAGUCUUUCCCGUAUAUAUGAAGAUAUAUGUGUUUUUAAUAAGUAUAUCGUCUAUGGACAGCUUUAUAUAUAACACAACCAUAUCUCAGGUACAGAGAUUAGGAACAUUCCAAAGUUGACGAGUAAAAAGGUAGCAGAAAGUGGAACAUUGGUAACAGCAGUGUCGAGGAGUGUACAUGGGUGGCAGAGUGGUUUAGAGGAGUGUACAUGGGUGAUAGAUGGGUGUACAUGGGUGACAGGGGGCGUAGGGGGUGACAGAGGGGUGUACAUGGGUGACAGAGGUGUUGGGUGUGUAGAGGAGUGUACAUGGGUAAUAGGGGAGCAUAGAGGAGUGUACAUGGUAACAGAGGAGUGUAGAGGAGUGUACAUGGGUGUCAGA